AGAAUUGGGUUUGAAAAUGAAUUGGAAAAAUGGACACAUAAGCCAUCACAUGGUGAAAUUGGAAAAUAUGAGGAAUUUGAAAAUAAGGCCAAUACCAUUAGCUUCCAAAUGAUUUUUGUGAUUGGUUCCAAGUGACAAUUUUCUGCUACAUUGCUUCUAAAGAGAAAAGAGCUUAAAGUCCAAAAUGCAUUACAUAAGCUAUUUUACUCUAAUCUCAUUUUCUUCACUAAUUGGGAUUAAGGAGGGAUUAAGAAAUCCAUAUAUAUUGUUAAUCUAACAGAAUUUUAAACACUAAUCAUUGUUCACAAAAUCAUAACAGAAAAUCUGAACAGAAAUUCUCUCAUUCUCCCAUUUUUGCUCAAAAACUUUCAUAUCACUUUUUGAUCAAUUCACAAAUUGCCACUGAUUUAGUGUUAAUUCUUGGCAAAUCCAUCAUCCAUAUGCAUUGUCGAAUUGCUGUUUGCAGGUUUUGAGCGAAAUUCGAGCAAGAAAUCGCAGCUGCUACAAGGUGGCAUUUCCAUGGCAGUCAACGAAUCUUCUUGUUCCGUGCAUCCCUGAGCUGCAAGAACAUCAUCAUUCGUCUCCUGGAUCAUCAUACUCUACCUGUUUGAACGAAACGAAGCUCGAAACCUCACCGAGUCGCUACUGCACUCCAAGAAGAGGUACCCUUUAGUCGCUCAGUUCUCUUAAGAACUUGUGUUGCUUUGCUUAAAUAGCAACUUGCAUUGAGGUAUAGAACCUUCUUCUUCAUGUAGUCUGGAGACCCGGUCUGUUAUUUGGCCGGGCAAAUUGUCUGAAGUCCUCCUUAAGAGGCAUUGAUUGUGAUUGUUUAUAUUUGUCCCAAGCAGGAAAAGUCCUCAUUUGAGGCAAUUGGUGGAAGGUAGAGAUAAGUAGCCUAUCUCCCACUAUUCAGUGAGUCUUCUCAUUGCUCCCAUUACAUGGUUGUAGCAUUGAGAUCCAAACCCAAGAUCUAUCGAGUCUAAUUGGGGAAAGAGUUCCAUCUUUCUGAACUCCCCCACAUUCUUAUAUUUACAUGCUCUCUCGGACAUGAGAUAGAAGCAAUGAGGCACACCCCUCAUAUCCUUUCAUCUGCUUCACCUGAGCCCUUCAAUGGCCAGGUUAAGAGCGACACUUACCUCUUACAGUGGACUUUCAUAGUCAAACCCAUUUGCUUGAGCCUCAUGAAUGGUUAUAGCGUGUGCUACUUGAAUUUAUGUGAUUGAUUACUUGAUUCAUUUAUACAUGAUUAUUUGAUGGCCAUUGUGCAUUUACUAUCAUUGAUCGCUGUUGUGCAUUUAUCAUCUUUGUUUGCCAUUAGUGCAUGAUCAUUUCUUUGUCCUUGUGACAUUGAUGUUUUCCCAUUGAGGAACCAGUUAUAAGUCCCUGUGAGUUGGCAUCUGUUCCCAUGACAUGGAAGAGAUAGAGUGUAAGACCUCAUUGGUCACUCAUAUCUUCUUUGCUCUUUGUUUGAGCAUUAUUGUUGUAUGUGAGGAUUCAUUGUAAGUCCCUGUGAUGUGGCACUUGUUUUCCUAGGAUCAUACUGUGGAGGUUAACAUAAGUCCAGAUAGAUUGGCAGUUGAUUUCCCUGUUUUGUUUUUUUGUUUUAUUCUGAUGGAGAUUAGUGUAAGUCCAUAGAGUGGCUUCUGAUAUCCUUACUUGUUUUAGGAGACAGGUAUAAGACCAUUGAGUGGCCUCCAGUAUCCGCUUUUAUUUAAUCUCAUCUGUUACCAUGUUCAUAUUAUUGCUCAUUUGUAGCCUAUUCCUAAGGACCCACUUGAAUCAUCUUCUAUAUGAUUUCAAGAGGUGGACCCUUCUAAGAAGUUUUACAUCCACACCAUUCCAUUCAUCCCAUUGUGUCCUACCUCUUCACACAUGCCUUUAAAAACUUGAAAUAAGUGUUGUGCAAAUAUUCUCACCUCUCUCCAAAUUAGAAACUUGGACCUUAAGUCCAUGGUUUUCCAAACUUCAUUUUUGUAAAUACUUCAUUUUGAAUUGACUUUAAUCAUACUUUGACCUUUUUGUAAAUAAUCCAAAUAACUUCACCCAUUCAAAUGAUUUUGUGGCUUUGUCCAUGUUUGUUAAGUUUUCAUACAUUAGCUAUAGGUUUGAUUUACCCUAGUUGGUUGAUGUUAAUCUCACCUAUUUGUCCUUAGUAGAUGAAUUGUAAGCCUUCCUUGCUUAUUAUAGGGUUAACCCCUCUCUAGCAAGUUGAAGCUUUUCUCACAUGGUGGACUAGUUGUUAUAUAAGGUUGAGUUUUCUCCCGUGGGUAACGUAAAACCUUAGUGCUAUUGUUUUAAAAUGAACUCACAAAUGUUUUGGAAAUCUUUUAGCCGAACUACGAGGUUUUGAUCCUGUAAAGGUACGUAGGCAAUGGUUAUCCAUCCAAACACAAAAAUAAUUAACAUGUACAUUCUUUCCUCAUCAUCCCACUCAUGUUUGCACAAUACUUAUGUCAUGACAAAUAAUAAUUUUCAAACAACAAAGUGUGAAAAGGGCUCCCUAGGAGUACCUAGGACGCAUUGGGUGCCUAACACCUUCCCAUUGCGUAAUUUACCCCUUACCCAGACUCUCUGAUCUUUUUCAUUAGUUUUCUACGUGUAAAACUUCUUAGGUUUUUGUUCGCUUUUUAACAAGUCCUUAGGAUAAAUAAAAGUGCGGUGGCGACUCUAUAUUCAUUGUAUACAUUGCUUAUGAUUUAAUCAAUAGAUCAUAUAGUAACGAAUACACCGCUACAGAAAAGUGGCGACUCUGCUGGGGAUCCACAUCCUUGGUGGUAUUGCCAACUUUUCACCUUUGUGUGAUAUAUUAUUAUUGUUAUUUGACAUAUUUUUGUACAAUUUGGGAUAACUGUAUUGAUUGUAAUGUGUGAAUUGCUUGAUAUACGAAUGCUGUUUGCUUUGGUGAUCUGUGAGAUGAGUUCUAUACCCGAACUCGAGUGCACUCUAGGAUAGGAGAAUGGCAUAGUCUUGUUGACUGGUGUGGAGUAGUCCUUAGCCAGUUGACUUGCGAGUCCAUUCACUUGGUGGAGGUCAUGUUGGAUUAAUAAUGUCACACAAGUCAUUUGUGGUUAGGCAUUAUUCUUUCAAUCAUGUGCCUUAGAAGCCAAGGACCUUAGUUUACCAAACCCAUCUUGGCCUAUUUUUAGGACGUAGUGCGAAGGUCGUUCAGAUGUAAGAUCUGAUGCGAUUGUUACGCGAUACUACACUCAUAAGAGUUUCUCUUGAGAAUAUUUUUGGAAUACGAGUAUUCGUUCCUCCGAUAAUAUUCGAAAGAUGGAACGAUGAUUAUGGGAACCUCUGGUAGAACAUGUCUGGCAGGAUUAAACCCUAGUACAUUCCCUUUGGGUGGUUCUUAACCAAGACUCCAUGCUCGUGACUCUCAGCAAACCCGUGAUUCGUGGUUGAGUCGUUCAAACAUCGUUAAUAUCAAUGGAUCCCGGAUCAGGUGUAAAACCUAAAAUCCACCAAAGCGGUUGGUUGAUAUUAAGGAUGUUUGAGCCGGUUCAUGUACCGUUAAUAUCAAUGGAACUUGGGUGUCGAUAAGGUGAAAAACCUAAAUCCACCAAAAUGGAUGAUUGAUAUUAGGGAUACAAUGAGCUUUCCCAUGACCUUUGUUUGGUGUGCUUUGCUUGAUCCUUGAGUGUGAUUGUUGCAUUCAUACAUUCAUACAUUCAUCCGCAUCCAUAUCAUCAGAUAAAAAGAAAAUUUUCAAGGAACUCAAAGGAGUUUAGUUGCAAAAAUUUUCAAAACAUGAAAAAACCGGGAAAAUUUUUUCACCUGAUAUAUCUGAUGAGAUAUUCUCAUAUAUGAUCAAAAGGCUAAAUAUUUCGAAGUUUGCAAAUAAAACCUUCAAGUUCCUUUGAUAUAAAAAACAAGCAUAUGCACAAACACUUCAUGCAUCAUUUGCAUAAGCGGGUGUUUUGUUCCGGUCUCCCGUCCUGUGGUCUGACCCUGCGAUCUUCAUUUAUUUUGGAGACGCACCUCGCCGGUAUUAUACCAGAGCCGAUUCUUCGAGAUUGAUGGAUCAUCCGGAGCAAGAGAAUGGUGAAUUCAGAGAGAUAUUUGUCAGACUAAGUGUUGUUGAUGGAUUUAUUCCUGUUGCUGGUUUGGGGAAGAUGUUUGAGCUUGAAGACAACAGAUCCCGGGCUGGCAUUGGCUACUGUUCUGGGGCAUUCAAUGAGCAAGGUUUGUUCACGAGUGGAGGAUUCAUCCAUGACGAUCAGCCUGUUGAAGAGGAAGUUGCUGCUAUCAUUGAAGAAGAUGCAGAGGAUAUGAGCAAUUUUGUUAUUCCUGGUGGUGUCUGCCACAAUUGGGUCGCUGUGGAUGUUCCUACAGUUAUCCAUAGAUCAGAGUAAUAAUGCUCACUUUGUUUAAAACCCUUCUCCCAUGCCAAAAGGAGAAGUGAUGACAUUAUUGGCAACAUUUAAAUACAAUGAUGUUUUCAUUCAAUUAAUGCAUUGUUAAACAUUUGUUUUUCCAUUUGUUUUCACUUUUGGCUUUUGCAUGAAAUCAGUGAUCACAAAAAACCUGAAAGACAAAAACAGCUUUUUCAUCUGCAUAAAUGAUUUGCUUGUUUAAAUUCUAAAGUUUUUCAUUAUCCAGAAUCAUUAUGCAGGGAUUUCUAAACCCAUUGAACAUAAUGAUCCAACGCCAUCUCCCAAAUUUGAAUUCCUUGUAUUCGAGGCAGAGGAAGAUGAUGUUGAAGGGGAUUCCUGAUGAGAGUACCCGCCUUCUUGAGCACGAAAGAAGCUUAUUCAGCUGCGUCUCAAGAACCCAGCAACAGUCAAACUGGGGCAUUACAAAUGUAAUGUAAAAAAAAAUGAAUGAUGAAAAAAAGGAAAAGAGGGUGAAAGAAGAUGAAAAAUUCAAAAGUCAGCAAAAUUUUUUCAAGAUUUCUUCAAAAGAAAAAAGAAAAAUUAUACCCUCAAGUCCCUAGUUGACUGAUGCUGAAUGGGUUCAGAGUCGUUAUGACCAACUGAAUUUGAUUGAAGAGAAGAGAUUAACUGCCAUGUGUCAUGGUCAGUUAUAUCAGCAGAGAAUGAAGAAAGCAUUCGAUAAGAAGGUCAAGCCUCGUGUGUUCAGAGAAGGUGACCUUGUGCUCAAGAAAGUUUUGUCUUUCGUACCCGAUUCCAGGGGCAAGUGGACUCCAAACUACGAGGGUCCAUAUGUUGUUAAGAGAGCCUUUUCAGGCGGUGCUUUGAUGCUUACGACAAUGGAUGGGGAGGAUUUCACCCGUCCUGUGAAUUCAGAUGCAGUUAAGAGAUACUUUGCCUAAAAGAAAAAAAAAGUAUAUGCAAAUGAAAAAACAGAAUAUCUCGCUAAGUUGAAAACCCGAAAGGGCGGCUUAGGCAAAAAUGAGCGUCUCGGUGGAAAACCUGCAAGGGUAAUCCAGGCAAAAGUUAGAGACUUGAUAAAAAAAGCAUGUUUGCAUCCCGCUAGAUUGAGUACCUCACCCUGGGGCAAUCUAGGCAAAAAUUAGGGAUCAGGCAAGUAACUGCAUCCUGACAAGACUUUCUGUUUCAUCAGCUGUCUUUUCGUCAGAGGUUCUCGAUUCGUUGUCAACCGAAGCUUCGAAUACAUCGAGAUUCAAAUUGGUAGAGAAAGGGUCAUUAUGUUCAAUGUAGCCCUCUUCCAAUAUAUAUCACUGAUUUCAAAUUUGUACAGAUCUAUGGAGUCUUGCCAUUUGCAGACUACCAUUCCAUCAAAUAAAAUUGAGCUUUUAUCCAAUUAUUUGCACUCUUAUUUGUUUCAAUUCAACAAAUGUUCUGCAUGUUUUAAUUGAUAAAAAUAUCAUUGUUUUAAAAAAAAAAAAUUUUCAAAGAUUAUUGUUUUAAACAAAGUGAACAUUCACAAUGAUAAAAGGAUACUCAAAGAAUUUCCCCAGUGCUCUCCCAAGGGUGGCAUGGUUUCCAACAGGUAAGACAUUGUUCAUACUCCUGGUUUGGUUUGUAUCCUUCUUCUCCAGAUUUGGUUGUUGGGGUUGUUCCCCAAGCAGAGAUUUGGUUGUUGGGGUUGUUCCCUAAGCAGAGCUUCUGUGGAUUUUGACUCCCCGAAGCAGAGUGGUGUACUGAAGACUCAGUCUGUUCUCCAGCAGUAGCCUCUCCCCGGCUUGAUUGCUCAGGUGUUCAGAGAACUUGUGGUUAGUGGGUUGAUAUCCCCGUGUCCCGUAUUUCUCCCCAAGUGAGUUGCCAGCAUAAUUGCAAGUCGAGUUGUUGGUGGGGUUAUUCCCCAAGCAGAGUGUUGUUGAAGACUCAGUUUUCUCCAACAGCAGUUUUCCCCAGCAUGGAUGCUUUCUUUGUGGAGGAUUCGACAGUUGAUGGUUUGCCACCUUGGUGCCCCAUCACUUUCUCCAGUGGGUCGCUAUCCCCAGACUUUAUUUGUCUCCUUGGCACAGUAGAGCUGUUAUUGAUAUCCCCAUUGCAGUCGCGAGCAGAGUUGUUGUCACCCUCCCCAGCGCAGUUGCCAGCGGAUUUGUCUGUUUUCUCAGCACGGUCGCUUUCCUUUUGGAAGACUCGGUAAGUCAGUGGUUUGAUACCCGGUACUUUACCUUUUCCCCGGCGAAGUCGUCAGUGGAGUUGUUUACUUUCUCUCUAUCAGAAUGGUUGUUAUCCUCAGCAGAGCAGGAUUUAUUUUCCUAUUCAGUGGUUGAUUGGGUUGAUAUCCCCGUAUUUUCAUCCAUCUUUCUCCAGCAUUUGUCUGCAGAGCGGUUGUUGUGGCAGUAUUGCCUGUUGAACCUCUUUCAAUCCCCGGUAUGGUCGGUCGAUAGCUCCGUCAUCCAGAGAUUGGAUUGGUUUCCUGAUUACUCUUCGAUCCUCAGUAGAGCGGAUUUUAUUGUAGAGUUUACUGAUGUGAUCCAUCAGAUGUGUGUUCGCCCCGAGUAGAGUGGUUUGUUGCAGAAUCUACUUGUUUGGCGCUUUCCUUCCUCAGUGGGUUGUUCCCCAAGAGAAUAGCUAACAGUAUCCCCAGUAGAGUUGCUUGUGCAGCCAGACUCUAUCCAGGUGACCUUUGCUCCCUCAGUGGGUUGUUCCCCAAUGGAGCUGUGUUGGAUCCGUUUCCAUAGCAGUGCUUGCUAGGAUCCCCUGCAGGACUUUGAUUUUCUCUUGUUCCCCGACAGAUUCGUCUUGGUGGCCGUUUUGCCCGUUGUGACUUUCUGUGCCCUAGUUGGGAUGAUCGCUGAUCCAUUGCCCAGAGAUUUGGUAUUCUCCAGAUAUCCCUGAUUCUUUUGCUUCUGCUUUCCAGCAGUACCCGCAGAUCUUUGCUUUAUAACAUAUAGAUCUCCAGCAGAAUUGGCUUUCCAGUUGGUUUUCCCUUGGAAGUAUAAUACCGGACGUUUGAUUCCUGGACCUGUUGUGUUAGAAAUGUCUGUUUUGUCAGCAUUCAUCAAACAUAAAUCACGCAUAUUCAUGCAUACUCAUAAAACAUUCAGAUAUUCAUGUUGCAUUUUUGCCAUAUAUCCUUUGUUUAUUAUUCCCUGCUAUGGUGAUAUAGAUCUUUAUAGAUCUUCCUAAGCAGAUGUCGGGUGUUAAAUCUCUCCAUGUAGAGUCAGCCCCAUAAGCAGAAAGUGUCUGUCUUUCCUUCUGCAGUUCCCCACUGAGAUAUACCCUCGUGGAUGAUGGUUUCUUCCGUUUCCUCCCAACACAUAUAUUGGGAUGGAGGUUCCUAUUUGAGUUAUAUCCUCAUUAGGACGUGUCUUGAUUCAGUCUGUCUUUUCGGAUCUUUCCUGAAUUGACAUUUGUCGUCUGUUCCUUGUGCUUCCCUGUGGUGAUUUCUAUCCCCAGCGGAGUUUCGGGCCUCUACCCUUAUACCGGUAGUUGUAAGUCCUAUUGUUCCUUGUCCUCUUGGCGGAAUUUGUGGUUAUAUACCUUUCAUUCCUCCGCAAGAGUCGAUUUUGGCCUCUACCCUUAUACCGGUAGUUGUAAGUCCUAUUUUCCUGGCUUCUUGGCAGAACUUGUGGUUAUAUACCUUUUAGUCCCCAGCCAGAGUUGUUGGUUUUCUACCUGAUAGUCGGUAGUCGUAAAUCCUAUUUUCUUACUCUCCAACAGAGCUUGCGGUCUGUUAUAAACCUCGUUUUUGGUUUCUCGUGCGGAUUCGUGAUUUAUUCUAUCCCCACGAAGAGUUUUUGGCUUUCUACCCCGUAUUCUGUAGAUGUAAACCCUAAUUUGUGGUUAUUCCCACCAAGGUAUGGCCACUGCCCUCAUACCGGUAGUCGUAAGCCCUAUCUCUUUUCCCAUAGCAGCGGUAACCUUUGUGGUUCGGUCUGGUUGAUGGUGGAUUUUCUGUUGUCGUGAUUUUAUCCCAAACAGAGUUUUGUUCCCUGUGGUGAUUUGUAUCCCCAGUGGAGUUUGUGGUCUUCUACCCCGUAUUCGGUAGUUGUAAAUCCUUUGUCGCUGUGAUUUGUCUCUCCAGCGGAGUUGUAUCUUAUGACACAUGCGGAUAAUUGCCGGUUGCUAGCAAUUUUAUCCUCAGCUGAGUCUUUGGUUUCUUACCCAGUAGUCGGUAUUGUUAAACCCCUUGUUUUCUCAGCCAGAUUUUUGGUCUUCUGCCCCACGUUCGGUAGAUAUAAACCCUAAUUUCUCUCUUUGUGGUUAUCUUCAUUCAAUAUUCGAUGCUGAUAUUCCCCUGCUUUUGGGUAGUUGCUCUUGAGUAAGCACUUGUAUUCCCAGCAGUCUCCUGGAUCAUUGCCGGAUGCUCGCAAUGUUAUCCUUUUGAAGUCGCCAGUGGGUCUUUUCACCGUUUGCUAGUGAUUUGUUCCCUGGAUCGUUGAUUAUAUAUCAAUGCAUCCCCAGCUCUUGCGGAUAAUUGCCGGAUGCUUGCAAUUUAUCCCCAGUGAAUCUUUCAUUUACCCUUUUGUUGGUAAUGUUGUUACUCCCUUUGAUCGGUCAUCAUUAUAUGCCUGUUUGGUAUCCCGAUGCUUUUCUUUUCGGUCGAUUUAUCCUUUAUUAACCCUUAUACCGGUUGUGGAUAAUCUUCCGUGCGAGUGUAUUAUUCACGGUCUGCCGGUAAUGGAUAAUAUAUCUCAUGCACUCUUCAGUCGAAGCCUUUUGUGUUUCCCUGGUCGAGUAAGAUUCGUUAUUUCCCUUUGCGGAGUCGAAUAUUCUUGUUGUUGGAUAAUUGCCGGAUGCUUGCAAUUUAUCCCUUUGAGUUGUCUUUCGUUUACCCGGAUGCUUGGUAUCGAUUGUCCCUCUUUUUGGUUAGUCACCUAUUAUAUACUUCGGUAUCUCUGGUGUCUUUUCCUUUCGAGCAUAUUAUUCACGGUCUGCCGGUAAUGAAUAAUAUGUCUCAUGCGCUCUUUAGUUGGAGUCCUUUGUUGAUUUUCCCCAACUGAGCAAGAUUCGUAUUCUUUGUAGAAUCGAAUAUUCAUCCUUUAACCUGUUUAUGUUCCGGAUGUGUGUUUUGGCAUAUAUACCAAUUCACGUUUUCGGUAGAUCACCUAUUAUAUACUCCGGUAUCUCUGGUGUUUCUUACCAAGCGAGUUUAUUAUCUACGUUCUGACGGUAAUAGAUAAUAUGUCUCAUGCGAGUAUCUUAUCCACGGUCUGCCGGUAAUGGAUAUUAUAUCUCAUGCACUCUUUGGGUUUGUGUCCCCAGUUGAGUAAGUUUCGUUUUCCCGUUGUGGAUUCGAAUGUUCCAUCCUGUAAAUUGUUUUGCUUUUUCAAGCCCUCCUUUCGGAUGAUGAGUGUCUUGGCAUAUAUACCAAUUCACGUUCUGUCGGUCACCUAUUAUAUACCUCGGUAUCCCUGGUGUUCCUUUCUGUCUACUCCCUAUUAUGACCUUGGUCCCCUGUGGAGUCAGAUUUUCCUGAGUUUUGUACCCUGUGUUGGUCUUUCUCAGAUGUUGGUUGAUUGAUAUCUCUCACCCUUAUACCGGUCUUAGAUAUUCAUUCUUCCUGAGUUUGUUACCCUUAUACCGGUAACACCUCAUUCCUGUUGCUUUUCCCAGGAGAGUCUCUUUGUUAGACAUUCCCCUGCGGAGUUCCUUCGGUGAUUUUUACCCUUUGCUAUAUGGGUGUUUAUUCCCCAAUAUAUGCAUUUUCCCGGCAGGGAGGUUCUAUGUGAAUCUUUUCCUGGUCCGAGUCCGGAUUUUUAUCCGAGGUAUCCUUUAUGGAUAAUUUGAGUCAGCUUGUGCCUUUCCAAUGGAUUUAUUUUCCUUUGGAAUUUCUUUAUUCCCCGGUGUGAGUCCUUUGCUUCCCCAGCAAGUUCUCCAGUCCGAUAUCUGUUAUCCCCACUCGGAGUCGUGUCUAGUUCACGCUGUGUCAGUUCUGUCAUUACCUAAUCAAAGUCGUGUCCUGCUCACGCAUUCUUUUUCUUACUAUCCCCUAAUAGAGUCCCAAUAAGAGUCUUAUUAGAGUCUCUGUUCCUGGUGAGUGUAUUACUCCGACGGAUCGUCUUUUUUUCUGUGUGAACAAUAUAUUCCCCACAGAAUUUGCUUUUUGCAUGCAUACAUCUGCAUCAUGAGGUCUCUUAGGGACCAAAAUUCGUCUCAUUACUAUUAUUUAAGCCCAUUCUACCGCGUCGAGAUGAAGAUUUCUAAACUUCACUUCUCCGGAUAGAAUGACCUUAAAUAGGGGCAUCUGUAAGACCCCAAUUUUGGCCCUAAGAUCCCUCAUGGCCCAUAUCAUAUCACAUCAUGGCCUCAAGGAUCAUUGCAUACCCUAGCUUCCCUCCUAGUGGGUGGGAUGCCUUGUGAGUGUGAUUCUUGAUCACCAAGCAUGUAUAGCAUUUGUGUGUCAUUGCUUUUCAUAUGUUUACUAACCAAAAGUACAAAAAUAUUGUCAUCUAAUCAUGUUGCUUGCAGAUGAAGCUAGCUAGGCCAAAACAAUCAAAUCAGGCCUUGAGCAAUAGAUGGUGGCCAUUCUUGAAGAAUUUGGACACCAUGAUCAUUCAUAAAGAGUUCAUAUAACUUGUGGUAUCAUUUGGAACCAAGAUCUCAAUUGAAAGAGGCUUGGAAUUCAUCAGAACUUAGCCCAGUCAACCAAAAGUCAACAAAAGUCAACUGUGGUCAACUGUACAUUUAAUCAGUGAUUUGAUGAUUGGAAUUGGUUGAAAAGACCUCAUUCAUGUCUAUAUAAACUUCAUUUGGCAUUUCAAAGGCCAAGGUUGAAGGAAUUGAGGUCAGACAGAAAGUUUCCCAAGAUAGCAGGUGACUGGUAACUGAAGUUUCCAAAAAUGGAAAGUUUUUGACCUCAAAAACAGAAGUCCAAGGAAGCUUCAAAUGAAAAAUUGUUCAACAUGACAGAUGUAGAUCUUGUUCUCACCUUUCCAAAAAGUCCAAGAACUCAAAAAUCCAAUGUGUGGUUUGCAAGAUAUGAUCAGAUGAAUUUCAAAAAAGACCCGUAAUCAGGAGGGCAUAACUACCACAUGGUUUAUCCAAAUUGCAAGUUCUUUAUAUGCACAAACUCCAUUUGACAAGUACUUUCAUGGUGCAUAAUUGGAUUUUUUCAAAAGUGCUCAAUGCAAAAGGUCAAAUUUCAACUGGACUGUUAAAUGAACCAGGGGCAAAAUCGUCCAACUUGUGAAAUAAUUGGAAUUUUUGAGUGGGGAUUUUUGCUACACUUCAUAAAUGGCAUUUGAAAUUUGUUGGAAUAUUCACAACAUGCCUAGGCCUUGUGGUUUGAGAAUUGGGUUUGAAAAUGAAUUGGAAAAAUGGACACAUAAGCCAUCACAUGGUGAAAUUGGAAAAUAUGGGGAAUUUGAAAAUAAGGCCAAUACCAUUAGCUUCCAAAUGAUUUUUGUGAUUGGUUCCAAGUGACAAUUUUCUGCUACAUUACUUCUAAAGAGAAAAGAGCUUAAAGUCCAAAAUGCAUUACAUAAGCUAUUUUACUCUAAUCUCAUUUUCUUCACUAAUUGGGAUUAAGGAGGGAUUAAGAAAUCCAUAUAUAUUGUUAAUCUAACAGAAUUUUAAACACUAAUCAUUGUUCACAAAAUCAUAACAGAAAAUCUGAACAGAAAUUCUCUCAUUCUCCCAUUUUUGCUCAAAAACUUUCAUAUCACUUUUUGAUCAAUUCACAAAUUGCCACUGAUUUAGUGUUAAUUCUUGGCAAAUCCAUCAUCCAUAUGCAUUGUCGAAUUGCUGUUUGCAGGUUUUGAGCGAAAUUCGAGCAAGAAAUCGCAGCUGCUACAAGGUGGCAUUUCCAUGGCAGUCAACGAAUCUUCUUGUUCCGUGCAUCCCUGAGCUGCAAGAACAUCAUCAUUCGUCUCCUGGAUCAUCAUACUCUACCUGUUUGAACGAAACGAAGCUCGAAACCUCACCGAGUCGCUACUGCACUCCAAGAAGAGGUUGGAUUCCGAUCUCGUAAUCGCUUAAAUUGUGUUAGGGAUUUGGUAGAAUGCUGUUUGUAGAUUAUGUAUCAACCGGUAGAUUGUGAUUUCGCUGUAAGUUGAACGAGUUAUUGCCGUUUAAACUUUGAUACGCUAAACUGUUUUGGCUCGAUCCUUGAAAUAUGUUUAGAAUUAAGUUGUUUACUUGCUA